GACGAACGCUGGCGGCGUGCCUAACACAUGCAAGUCGAACGGAGUUAAGACUUCGGUUUUAACUUAGUGGCGAACGGGUGAGUAACGCGUGAGAAACCUGCCUUUCAGUGGGGGACAACAGUUGGAAACGACUGCUAAUACCGCAUAAUGUUAUUUGGGGGCAUCCUUGAAUAACCAAAGCUUUAUGUGCUGAAAGAUGGUCUCGCGUCUGAUUAGCUAGAUGGCGGGGUAACGGCCCACCAUGGCGACGAUCAGUAGCCGGUCUGAGAGGAUGAACGGCCACAUUGGGACUGAGAUACGGCCCAG
rnacentral:rRNA from 1 species